rnacentral:rRNA from 1 species
UACGUAGGGUCCUAGCGUUGUCCGGAAUUACUGGGCGUAAAGCGCGCGCAGGCGGCCCGCGAGGUGUCACGUGAAAGCCCCGGGCUCAACCCGGGAGGGUCGUGGCAAACCGGCGGGCUUGAGGCCGGUAGAGGUGGGUGGAACUCCUGGUGGAGUGGUGAAAUGCGUAGAGAUCAGGAAGAACACCCGUGGCGAAGGCGGCCCACUGGGCCGGUACUGACGCUGAGGCGCGAAGGCGUGGGGAGCGAACGGG